ACGGGACGGGGUGAGUAACACGUGGGUAACCUGCCUGUAAGACUGGGAUAACUCCGGGAAACCGGGGCUAAUACCGGAUGGUUGUUUGAACCGCAUGGUUCAGACAUAAAAGGUGGCUUCGGCUACCACUUACAGAUGGACCCGCGGSGCAUUAGCUAGUUGGUGAGGUAACGGCUCACCAAGGCGACGAUGCGUAGCCGACCUGAGAGGGUGAUCGGCCACACUGGGACUGAGACACGGCCCAGACUCCUACGGGAGGCAGCAGUAGGGAAUCUUCCGCAAUGGACGAAAGUCUGACGGAGCAACGCCGCGUGAGUGAUGAAGGUUUUCGGAUCGUAAAGCUCUGUUGUUAGGGAAGAACAAGUGCCGUUCAAAUAGGGCGGCRCCUUGACGGUACCUAACCAGAAAGCCACGGCUAACUACGUGCCAGCAGCCGCGGUAAUACGUAGGUGGCAAGCGUUGUCCGGAAUUAUUGGGCGUAAAGGGCUCGCAGGCGGUUUCUUAAGUCUGAUGUGAAAGCCCCCGGCUCAACCGGGGAGGGUCAUUGGAAACUGGGGAACUUGAGUGCAGAAGAGGAGAGUGGAAUUCCACGUGUAGCGGUGAAAUGCGUAGAGAUGUGGAGGAACACCAGUGGCGAAGGCGACUCUCUGGUCUGUAACUGACGCUGAGGAGCGAAAGCGUGGGGAGCGAACAGGAUUAGAUACCCUGGUAGUCCACGCCGUAAACGAUGAGUGCUAAGUGUUAGGGGGUUUCCGCCCCUUAGUGCUGCAGCUAACGCAUUAAGCACUCCGCCUGGGGAGUACGGUCGCAAGACUGAAACUCAAAGGAAUUGACGGGGGCCCGCACAAGCGGUGGAGCAUGUGGUUUAAUUCGAAGCAACGCGAAGAACCUUACCAGGUCUUGACAUCCUCUGACAAUCCUAGAGAUAGGACGUCCCCUUCGGGGGCAGAGUGACAGGUGGUGCAUGGUUGUCGUCAGCUCGUGUCGUGAGAUGUUGGGUUAAGUCCCGCAACGAGCGCAACCCUUGAUCUUAGUUGCCAGCAUUCAGUUGGGCACUCUAAGGUGACUGCCGGUGACAAACCGGAGGAAGGUGGGGAUGACGUCAAAUCAUCAUGCCCCUUAUGACCUGGGGCUACACCCCGGUGCCUAACAAAGGG
rnacentral:rRNA from 1 species